rnacentral:tRNA from 1 species
GGGUAGUUGGCUGAAUCUGGCCACCCGCAGCGGACUCAAGGCCCGCAGGCGCUUGCACCCACGAGGGUUCAAAUCCCUCACUACCGU